UACGUAGGGGGCUAGCGUUGUCCGGAUUUAUUGGGCGUAAAGAGCGUGUAGGCGGCCAGGUAGGUCUGCUGUGAAAACUCGAGGCUCAACCUCGAGACGUCGGCGGAAACCAUCUGGCUAGAGUCCGGAAGAGGAGAGUGGAAUUCCUGGUGUAGCGGUGAAAUGCGCAGAUAUCAGGAAGAACACCCGUGGCGAAGGCGGCUCUCUGGGACGGUACUGACGCUGAGAAGCGAAAGCGUGGGGAGCGAACAGG
rnacentral:rRNA from 1 species